GGCGAGAUGGCCGAGCGGUCUAAGGCGCUAGAAUCAGGUCGCAGAAUCCUUUGUCAGAUAAUCUAGUCCUUCGGGGCGUGGGUUCGAAUCCCACUCUCGUCA